rnacentral:rRNA from 1 species
CUCCUACGGGAGGCAGCAGUGGGGAAUUUUGGACAAUGGGGGCAACCCUGAUCCAGCCAUUCCGCGUGAGUGAAGAAGGCCAUCGGGUUGUAAAGCUCUUUUGUCGGGGACGAAACGGUUUCACCUAAUACGUGAGACUACUGACGGUACCCGAAGAAUAAGCACCGGCUAACUACGUGCCAGCAGCCGCGGUAAUACGUAGGGUGCGAGCGUUAAUCGGAAUUACUGGGCGUAAAGCGUGCGCAGGCGGUUUUGUAAGCCAGAUGUGAAAUCCCCGGGCUCAACCUGGGAAUGGCAUUUGGGACUGCAAGGCUGGAGUAUGGCAGAGGGGACUAGAAUUCCUGGUGUAGCAGUGAAAUGCGUAGAUAUCAGGAGGAAUACCGAUGGCGAAGGCAGGUCCCUGGGCCAAUACUGACGCUCAUGCACGAAAGCGUGGGGAGCAAACAGGAUUAGAUACCCUGGUAGUCCACGCCCUAAACGAUGUCAACUGGUUGUUGGGGGAUUUAUUCUCUUAGUAACGAAGCUAACGCGUGAAG